AACAGGAUCAGGGAGUCUAGAUGGAAGGGAAAAGAAGGGGAAGGAAACCCGUGUUCAUAUUGAAAAUGUUCACUAUUAUUCGUACCAGCUCCAGCUCUACGCCCCGCAACCCCUUACCUGCAGCGAGAAGAUUAAGAAGCAGGCACAGCGCAAGGAAGCCGACUGUUGUCUGCAUAGUGCUUGCAUUGAGCGGUGGAGGAGGAACUCCGCCACGACCCCACUUGAGGCAAAGUCGCAAUCCCUGUAUUUAAACUUUCUCCUGACUCAAGCCCGAAGUCUGUGACCAUAGUGACAGAAAGAAGUCAGG